UGGGGAAUAUUGCACAAUGGGCGCAAGCCUGAUGCAGCCAUGCCGCGUGUGUGAAGAAGGCCUUCGGGUUGUAAAGCACUUUCAGCGAGGAGGAAGGUGGUGGACUUAAUACGUUCAUCAAUUGACGUUACUCGCAGAAGAAGCACCGGCUAACUCCGUGCCAGCAGCCGCGGUAAUACGGAGGGUGCAAGCGUUAAUCGGAAUUACUGGGCGUAAAGCGCACGCAGGCGGUUUGUUAAGUCAGAUGUGAAAUCCCCGGGCUCAACCUGGGAACUGCAUUUGAAAACUGGCAAGCUAGAGUCUCGUAGAGGGGGGUAGAAUUCCAGGUGUAGCGGUGAAAUGCGUAGAGAUCUGGAGGAAUACCGGUGGCGAAGGCGGCCCCCUGGACGAAGACUGACGCUCAGGUGCGAAAGCGUGGGGAGCAAAACAGGAUUAGAUACCCUGGUAGUCCACGCUGUAAAACGAUGUCGAUUUUGGAGGUUGUGCCCUUGAGGCGUGGCUUCCGGAGCUAACGCGUUAAAUCGACCGCCUGGGGAGUACGGCCGCAAGGUUAAAACUCAAAUGAAUUG
rnacentral:rRNA from 1 species